rnacentral:rRNA from 1 species
AUUGAACGCUGGCGGCAGGCCUAACAAAUGCAAGUCGAACGAGUGGCGGACGGGGGAGUAAUGUCUGGGAAAAUGCCCGAUGGAGGGGGAUAACUACUGGAAACGGGAGAUAAUACCGCAUACCAUCGGAAGGGCGAAGAUGGGAUGAGCUAGUAGGUGGGGUAAUGGCUCACCUAGGCGACGAUCCCUAGCUGGUCUGAGAGGAUGACCAGCCCCCCUGGAACUUAGACACGGCCCAGACUCCUCCGCGAGGCAACAGUGGAGAGUAUUGCACAAUGGGCGCAGCCCUGGUGCAGCCAUGCCGCGUGUCUGGAAGGGGCCUUCGGGUUGUAAAGUACUUUCAGCGAUGUGGCUUUACUCGAAGAAGAAGCACCGGCUAACUCCGUGCCAGCAGCCGCGGUGAUAC